GAUGAACGCUAGCUACAGGCUUAACACAUGCAAGUCGAGGGGAAACGACAUCAGAAGCUUGCUUUUGCUGGGCGUCGACCCGCGCACGGGAGAGUAACGCGUAUCCAACCUGCCCACCACUUGAGGAUAACCUUGCGAAAGUAAGACUAAUACCCAAUGAUAUCUCUAGAAGUCAUCUGAAAGAGAUUAAAGUUCUAUCGGUGAUGGAUGGGGAUGCGUCUGAUUAGCUUGUUGGCGGGGUAACGGCCAACCAAGGCAACGAUCAGUAGGGGUGCUGAGAGGCAGGUACCCCACAUUGGAACUGCGAUACAGUCCAAUAUGGUACGGGAGGGAGCAGUGAGGAAUAUUGAUGAAGGGACGAGAGUCUGAAACAGCCAAGUAGCGUACAGGAAGACGGCCAUAGGGGUUGUAAGCUGCUUUUAUAAGGGAAUAGAGUGAGUCUCGUGAGACGUUUUGAAUGUACCUUAUGAAUAAGGCCCGGCUAAUUCCGUG
rnacentral:rRNA from 1 species